AUUGAACGCUGGCGGCAGGCCUAACACAUGCAAGUCGAGCGGAUGACGGGAGCUUGCUCCUUGAUUCAGCGGCGGACGGGUGAGUAAUGCCUAGGAAUCUGCCUGGUAGUGGGGGAUAACGUUUCGAAAGGAACGCUAAUACCGCCUACGUCCUACGGGAGAAAGCAGGGGACCUUCGGGCCUUGCGCUAUCAGAUGAGCCUAGGUCGGAUUAGCUAGUUGGUGGGGUAAUGGCUCACCAAGGCGACGAUCCGUAACUGGUCUGAGAGGAUGAUCAGUCACACUGGAACUGAGACACGGUCCAGACUCCUACGGGAGGCAGCAGUGGGGAAUAUUGGACAAUGGGCGAAAGCCUGAUCCAGCCAUGCCGCGUGUGUGAAGAAGGUCUUCGGAUUGUAAAGCACUUUAAGUUGGGAGGAAGGGCAGUAAGUUAAUACCUUGCUGUUUUGACGUUACCGACAGAAUAAGCACCGGCUAACUUCGUGCCAGCCGCCGCGGUAAGAC
rnacentral:rRNA from 1 species